UGGUGACUCCUCCGGGGGGGGAGAAAAAAACGUCGUUGACCAGACUGCCGAUGGGGAGGAUGGACUGGUGGUGCCUUCCAGGGCUCCCAGAAAUACCGCUAUUUACGUGGUCAGCGCACGUGGACGAGCCCAGCAAAAAUUUUCAGAUCCCACACCUGUUUGUAUACAGGACUUGUAUUACGUGAUCUUGCUGGAAUUGAGGAGCCGAACAGCUGAAAAUAUUUACCUAACAAAAGGAGGUAUUUACAAGGAGCACCUGAAGGCAGCCUCAAACCACUUGGGAACCACAAAGUCAACAAAAUGAACAUGGGGCUGGCCUGCAGGUCAGAGAAGUGACAACAUAAACUAAAUGCUUGAAACAUGUAUGAGUUGUUAGCUACAUGGAAAUGCAUGCAACUUCUGGAUUGAAAAAAA